rnacentral:rRNA from 1 species
GACGAACGCUGGCGGCGUGCUUAACACAUGCAAGUCGAACGGAAAGGCCCUUCGGGGUACUCGAGUGGCGAACGGGUGAGUAACACGUGGGUGAUCUGCCCUGCACUUUGGGAUAAGCCUGGGAAACUGGGUCUAAUACCGAAUAUGAUCAUCGGCUUCAUGGUCGGUGGUGGAAAGCUUUUGCGGUGUGGGAUGGGCCCGCGGCCUAUCAGCUUGUUGGUGGGGUUAUGGCCUACCAAGGCGACGACGGGUAGCCGGCCUGAGAGGGUGACCGGCCACACUGGGACUGAGAUACGGCCCAGACUCCUACGGGAGGCAGCAGUGGGGAAUAUUGCACAAUGGGCGCAAGCCUGAUGCAGCGACGCCGCGUGAGGGAUGACGGCCUUCGGGUUGUAAACCUCUUUCAGCCCAGACGAAGCGCAAGUGACGGUAUGUGCAGAAGAAGGACCGGCCAACUACGUG